rnacentral:lncRNA from 1 species
GAACACCUACCGGCACCCCCGGGCACACCGAGCACCCACCGGCACCCACCGGGCACACCGAGCACCCACCGGGCACACCGAGCACCCACCGGCACCCCCGGGCACCCCCCGGCACCCCCCACACGCACACACUCGCGUGCACAGCCAGCCGGGCACACACACUCCUGUGCAAGCCCACACGCAUCUUCACACGGCCAAACCCGGGAGCUGGGCUGAAAUGCCCAAUCCCAGCACUUUUUGGAAUUCCUGAGGCUCCUGGUGGAGGAUUGGGGCGAGGAGUAACCCCGCAGCUGGUCCCCAGGCAGGGUUUGAUGUAGACACUGGAGAGAGAAGUGGGUGGAAUUGAUGCCUGGAGUUUGGGGUCGGGAGGGUCUGUGCACACAAGGGGCUCGGCUUUGUGGCACGGAGGGGUCAGCGACCGCAGCCAGACCCACCACUGCCUCAUCUCUGAGCGGGGUUGGAUCCUUGCUCGUGGGACCAGCGAGAUCUUCUGUGCUGCAGCAAAGGUGGAAAUCUGUCACAACUCCAGUGAGACUCCCAGUACAGGACCAGAAGGUGAUUCCUGCUGGGAAGGGAAUAAUCCUUCCCAUGCUGUGGUAAUUAGCAUUACUGAGGUUAUAUAGAAGUUUCUAUGAGGGAACUUAAUUAAUUAUGGUUGAUUAAUGAGUGUCCCCAGCUGAAGCUGGAGCCACAGAUUCUGUCACCACAUUGGGAACAUGUUUGUGUCAUGUUCAUCCAGGGAGGUUUUAUUCCUUGGGAAUGGGCCCAGACUGGGAGCUGCCAGUGGGUGCUGGAGUGGUGACAGGGUUUGCUCCAGCUGGGAGACCCCUGCAAAUGUCUGGCAGAUCUUUCUCCUAUUCCUCUCUCUGGAGACCUUUACGUGUAGCUAAGGAGGGGAACUUGAAGUGAAAACUGGGAAAAGGAGGAGGCACUGCACAGAUUGGGAUAUGAGGGCUCAGACCACCCCGAGAAUCCAGCAUGAGGGAUGCACUGGGAUCACUGCUGCUCCCCUGCUGGCCUUGGCUUCAGUCUCCUGCAGCCAGGAUGGGAGGUGGGAUGGGGGAGCUGGUGCCUGGGUACUGCUCCUGUGGUCCCCUCCUGCCCCGUGC